UAAUAAGUGUUUUAUGGCACUUUUAAAUCCAUAUCCACCUUGUGUGCAAUGUCAGUCGAUCUUCUUCAUGGAGAUCGACCAAACAUCAACCUUUAUUUUUAACACUUUGUCUGAAAAAUAUUAUGAAUAAACAAUUCAAAAUA
rnacentral:misc_RNA from 1 species